rnacentral:rRNA from 1 species
AUUGAACGCUGGCGGCAGGCUUAACACAUGCAAGUCGAACGAGUGGCGGAUGGGUGAGUAAUGCUUGGGAAUCUAGCUUCUGGAGGGGGAUAACUACGGGAAACUGUAGCCAAUACCGCGUACCAUCGGAUGAGCCCAAGUGGGAUUAGGUAGUUGGUGAGGUAAAGGAUGACCAAGCCGACGAUCUCUAGCUGGUCUGAGAGGAUGACCGGCCACACGGGGACUGGGCAACGGCCCGGAGUCCUACGGAAGGCGGCGGUGGGGAUUUUUGCGCAAUGGGGGCAAGCCUGAUGCAGCCAUGCCGCGUGUAUGAAGAAGGCCUUAGGGUUGUAAAGUACUUUCAGCGGGGAGGCGUUACCCGCAGAAGAAGCACCGGCUAACUCCGUGCCAGCAGCCGCGGUAAUAC